rnacentral:rRNA from 1 species
GACGAACGCUGGCGGUGUGCUUCACACAUGCAAGUCGAGCGGAUGAAAACAGUAGCUUGCUACUGUUGGAUUUAGCGGCGGACGGGUGAGUAAUAUAUAGGAAUCUGCCCUAAUGCGGGGAACAACAGACCGAAAGGUCUGCUAAUGCCCCAUAGGUAUGCAGUCUUCGGAUUGUAUAUUAAAGGAGUAAUCCACUUUAGGAUGAGCCUGUAUCCGAUUAGCUUGUUGGCGGGGUAAUGGCCCACCAAGGCUACGAUCGGUAGUUGGUCUGAGAGGACGAUCAGCCACAAUGGGACUGAGACACGGCCCAUACUCCUACGGGAGGCAGCAGUGGGGAAUUUUACACAAUGGGGGAAACCCUGAUGUAGCGACACCGCGUGAACGAAGAAGCCCUCGGGUGUAAACCUCUUUCAGCUCCGACGAAGCGAAAGUGACGGUAGGAGCAGAAGAAGCACCGGCCAACUACGUGCC